ACGACGAAUUUGGCCGCCACGUGUCCUUG
rnacentral:sRNA from 1 species